rnacentral:tRNA from 1 species
GGGGGUGUAGCUCAGCUGGGAGAGCACCUGCCUUGCAAGCAGGGGGCCAGCGGUUCGAUCCCGCUCAUCUCCACCA